CAAUAGCGUAUAUUAAAGUUGUUGCAGUUAAAAAGCUCGUAGUUGGAUCUCAGGUCCAGGCUUGCGGUCCACUCCUUGGUGGCUACUGCUCGUCCUGACCUACCUCCCGGUUUUACCCUUGGUGCUCUUGAUUGAGUGUCUCGGGUGGCCGGAACAUUUACUUUGAAAAAUUAGAGUGUUCAAAGCAGGCAAUUCGCCUGAAUAAUGGUGCAUGGAAUAAUGGAAUAGGACCUCGGUUCUAUUUUGUUGGUUUUCGGAACUUGAGGUAAUGAUUAAGAGGGACAGACGGGGGCAUUCGUAUUACGGUGUUAGAGGUGAAAUUCUUGGAUCGCCGUAAGACGAACUACUGCGAAAGCAUUUGCCAAGAAUGUUUUCAUUAAUCAAGAUCGAAAGUCAGAGGUUCGAAGACGAUUAGAUACCA
rnacentral:rRNA from 1 species